rnacentral:lncRNA from 1 species
AUCCCUCUCAUUAGGUAACAGCAAACUUCCCUCUACCCCCACUCAGCUCCACCCUCUGCCAGGAAACUUUUACUUCCUGACUCCAGGAGGGUAGUGAGGCAUGUCAGUCACUGCCCCACAACUGGAGCCAGCAACUGGUUCAGAGGUGGCCAUGUGGCCCAACUUACAUCCAUGAUCUGGAAAGGUACAGCUCCCUUCCACCCUUUGAAUUUUGAGCUGCGGAAUGCUGCCCCGGGCUACUAAGGCAGAUAAAAGAAUGAGACUCAAAUACGCAGAAGCCAAGAGAGCAGAGAAGACCAUGGUGUUCUAUCCCGGAUACACAGUGCCUGGAUGGGCUCCAGCUUCUCCCGAGUGCCAGGUGCCCAUACACCCCACCCCGGGGUUGUCCUCCCUUCCAGUGAGUUUUGGACUAAGGCGGAUAAUUGGCAAAGGACAUUCUCUUCCCGUCCUAUGGCCCCUGUGAACACGGGCAGGGGAAGAAGGGCCAGUGAUUGUCUCACCCCAAACUCCUCCCACCCACCCCUACCAAGGUUCCUCUUCUCUGACUGCAAACCUCUGGGAAGCUCUCAGGCCUCACGGAGAAGACUGGAGGGCCGGAUCUGGUUGACUCUUUCCCUAGGGUCUGAAGGAUCUGCGCCCUGUGUUCAAGGACGACGCUGAAACAUUCUUUUCUGCGUGCCUCAUCUGAGGCCUCACAACUCAGGUGAGCAAGACUGUGUCCCUUUCACAUGGAGAAGCCGAGUUCCACGGAGGUUGAGUGAGGAGCCGGCAUCACACAAGGACUCGGAGGGGCUCCUCGAGACUCGCGGGACAGAGACGGCAGCCCCAGGAGCAUGAAGAGACUAUUCUCCAGUAUUCACAGUGAGAACUUGGUGGGCAUCCUGGAGGUGAAACACAAAAGUGUGAAGACCUCCUGAGACUGAGCACCCAAGAGUUUUAAACUGUCAAGCUUGUCUACACUGAGUCUCAACAAUUCAUGAAUUAUUACAUGUUUGUAUGUUGCUAAAAAUACUGGCUUCAUCUGUGGUCCUCUGAACCUGGGCUUUAGUUUCUAGAAUUGAGA